rnacentral:rRNA from 1 species
UACGGGGGGGGUAAGCGUUGUUCGGAAUUACUGGGCGUAAAGGGCUCGUAGGCGGCCAACUAAGUCAGACGUGAAAUCCCUCAGCUUAACUGGGGAACUGCGUCUGAUACUGGAUGGCUUGGAUCCGGGAGAGGGAUGCGGAAUUCCAGGUGUAGCGGUGAAAUGCGUAGAUAUCUGGAGGAACACCGGUGGCGAAGGCGGCAUCCUGGACCGGUAUUGACGCUGAGGAGCGAAAGCCAGGGGAGCAAACGGGG